GGGGGCGACCUGGUUUCGACGUGGGUUACAAAGCAGAGCAGGGCAUACCGAGGGCUGGUCACCUCGUAAAUACAACCAGAAAAUAUAUAACUGCAAACGAUAACUCGUACGCACAAGACAAUUUCGCACUAGCUGCGUAAUUGACUUGCUCUACACCAUCUCGUCCCUGGGGUGGGCUGGUAAAACAGCAGUGGAGUCAUUUACAGGGAAUCGCUUUUGAUCGGGUUACUUGAUUAAAAGUUAAAUUUAGGUAACUCGCCUGAACGAAGUGUGUGUGUCCACGUCGGCUGGGCUAAAUUAAAUGACAACACUAAGUAUGUAGAACUGUCUGUAGAGGAUUUGCGGACGCGGGUUCGAUUCCCGCCGCCUCCACCA
rnacentral:tmRNA from 1 species